GCCCGCCUAGCUCAAUCGGAUAGAGCGUCAGACUCUUAAGAUAGGCGGAUGAUCUGAAGGCUGCGAGUUCGACCCUCGCGGUGGGCU
rfam:Gymnopus luxurians FD-317 M1 unplaced genomic scaffold GYMLTscaffold_1, whole genome shotgun sequence.